CCUCCAUGCUGCUUAGUCUUUGUUUAGCCCAUGAGAUUGCCCACACCAGUGGCAGUGUAGAUAAGGUUUUGGAUGGGAGCUUGGUCAUAUCAGGAAAUGGCUGUCACUCUCUUUCUGUUCACAACAGGAAGUAUAUGACAAGGAUGUGAGCUCUGGAUUUGGAAGUAACUCAUAAAUAAGUCUAAAUAAAAUAGCAUAAUUAGUCUGCUUAAGCAUCUUGACUUUUUUCUUCUUCUGUUCCACCUUUCUUCAAAACUGAACACCAGCUGUGUGUGGAUACACAGGAGUCCUGGUAUCACUGGAUUUGUGGUUAUGCUCCUUGUCCGCUAAAAAGCUCUUCUGUAAAUUCACAUUAGUAGAAGGUGUGUGAAUUCCAGAAUUGGUUUGAAACCGCCUUUAUGAUCAUUAACAAUUGUAGAAUAGAAUCCAAUGAGAAUGACUUGGUCCCACAUAGCCACAUAUGUUAGGUACCAAGUUGCCAAUCCUUAAAGACUUGAUGCCAUUUAUUUUCUUGUUGCUCUUCCCGAACUAUGGUGAGUGCAGCUAUAGGGC
rnacentral:lncRNA from 1 species